GACCGGUUGGCGCAAUGGUAGCGUAUAGACCUCCUACAACAUCUAAGCCCAUUUCAAGUGGUUGUCUUAGAGUAGAGGUCAGUCUAGGGUUGCGGGUUCGAGUCCCGUGCUGGUCG